CUUAUAGGAAACAUGCCCAAAGUUCCUAGAGAAAACUUCAGGUGCAAUAUACCCCAUGGUUCCUCGAGCUGUAGUCAUGGACACGGCACUCUGAUCCUUGGAGCACAGCUUUGCCAGACCGAAAUCAGAAAUCUUUGGAUUGAAAUGGUCAUCUAACAAGAUGUUAUGAGGUUUGAUGUCGAAAUGGAGGAUUCGCUGAUCACAACCUUGGUGAAGAUAUUCGAUGCCUUUAGCCAUGCCAAGAGCAAUAUCCUGAAGCCUCUCCCAGCUAAGACUGGAGGUUUCGCCAUGUUCUGAAGAUACAAAUUUCUCUAGUGAUUCAUUUGGCAGGUAAUCAUAGACCAGAGCUCUUCGAAAUCCAUCAGCACAGUAACCAACUAGGCGUAUAACAUUGACGUGAUGGAUCUUUCCCAUUGUUGCCACUUCAUUGAUGAACUCCUCUCCGUUUCCUGUUGAGUUGUUCAGGAUCUUCACAGCAACAAAGAUCUCAUCAGAAAGCUUUCCUUUAAACACAGUUCCAUAUGCUCCCUGACCCAGCUUGUCC